AUGAGAUAUGAUAGACAUAAGCUUCAAAUAGUUGAUAACAGAGAGUCAAUACAAUGUUUUAGAGAUGGCUCUGGGACAUUGUUCUAUAUAUUUUUAGUUUCUUCAACAGCAUACUAUUGUCAAUUUGCAAUACAAUAUGAAGUUUAUAAGCAUAGCAGAAACCCCUUUUGCGAUAACAUCUCUUUGUUACAUAGUGUGGCUUAG